AGGGAGGGAGGGAGGAAACGUGGGAUUUGCCCGUGGACGGCCCGUUUUGGGGGACACCUCUUCCUAUCACCUGCCAUUGCCCUUGCUCCACAGGUGCCUCCUCCCUGCCCUGGGGGAGAAGGAGGCCUCACGGGCUGACGUCUAAGGGGACGAAGGGACCCAGCGAGAGUCAAGCAGGAUUCUGACCCAGGGCCGGCUCCAGCUUCUCGGGUCCUGUGUCCGUGGGGACAUGCCCCGUGCACUUGCUGGACUGUGAUCUUACUUAUCUGCAAGACCCACAGAGCCUGGUCCUGCCCGGGUGGAGGCAGCCCACCACCACCUUGGAAGGUCAUUUGGAGGGCGGCACUUCCAUAGGCCCUGCCCCGGGCGGUGAGCAGGGUGCGUGGCGGGCUGGAGGUGCGCACGUGUCCGUGAGUGGAGCUUCCGCAGCAGCCACCAGGCCACAGUGGUGCAUCUGUGCGUGCUCCCGAGUCCCCGCCGCAAGCAGAAGCUGUGGGACUGCCCCUGUGUGUGGAGCAGGAACCCGAGGCUCCUGGGGCGCAGGGCACGGGCCUGGCGUGUUCCCGGGGGGCCAGAGCAGCCAGCCUGGCUUGAGAGUCUGGGCCCUUGACCGCCUAUCAGUCAAGCAUCGGGUAUCUGCCUUCGUCUGUUCAGGAGAUGUUUACGGAGGUUUUUAACAAAGGUGGUGAUGAGGAAGUCACUGUCCACUCGCUGGGGCUGGAGAGAAAGCCCAGCAGGUCAAGGAGAGGUAGGGCAGAGGGCGGCCCUGGAGGGCAGGGGAAGUGGGCUGUUUUGAUAGGGAGGCCUGCGAGGUGACGUUGGAGGAGGGGUCAGGGCGGCUGGAUGUCUGGGGUGGGUCAAGAGAGGGAAGGGCAGUCAGAGAGCGGGGCAGGUGCGGACUGCAGUGUGGACUUGCAGGGCUGGGGUGGCCUAGGCAGAGGUAGCCAGAACCCUGCGGGUGGAGGAAGUGGGCGGAGCCAGCAUCCCCUGAGGUCAAGGCAGCGGGACACGGUGGGCCCCACAUGCAGGGGAGAAACCAAGUCGACUGCAGAGAAGGUUCUAGAAGCCCAGCUCCCUCACCGGCAAAGUUCUCUUCACCCUGGCGCCUUCCUCGAGCAUCCAUCAAGCGCUACCGCGUGCCUAGCGCGGACACCUUCCACUUCCCCUCACCAGCGCCUUCGGGACCGGUGAUCCGUGGGUGUGGAGAGGGCGGGCCCCAACAACCCACCAGGGUGGUCCCCAGCACUCCAGGCCCCCUGGAGCCUGCAGAGGAGCCGCUACACCCUCAAAGCAGCCAACACCUGUUGACCAUGUCUCGGGGCCAGGAGUGCGCCGAGCAGUGGACACUGUGGUCCACUCCCUGGACCCCAGGGGGGGGGCCUUUCUCACUCCCUUUGAAGGGAUGAGGGAUCCCAGGUGUGGAGCCGAGAGGCAGCGAGGGGCGCGGCUGCCGGGGGUCCUGAGACUUGGACGCUGCCUCUCACCCCGCUCUGUUCACAACCCUCCCUACAGCCUUCCCCAGCUUCCUGGAGGAACAGAGGGUGGUGAAUAAAUCAAUGUGUCAAGUGCGACGCAGGUUCCACGGCAGACGGUCCCUGGCGGUGGAAGCAGGACACGGCUCCGCGUGAUUUAUCCCUCUCAGAGACGGUGAAGUAUCGUAACGUGAAUUGGACUCCAUCUCCCUGUGUAGCUGAAGAAGAUUUAGUGCCACGUACAGUUUGGACGCAGCAGCUGAAAAUCUAUCUGGACCAAGCAGCAAAGCCGAAUCCAGCCGGGUCUCCGAGUCCUGGCCUGGGCAGAGCUGUCUGGACAGAUCCUUGGAGCAGAUAAUUUACGGCUGAAGCAAAACACAGGCAGAGGCCUUUUUAUUAGGCCCAAGUGUUUUCUAUUAAAAGCCUUCGGAAGCCCCUGGAAGCUGGAGCUCGGGGCGAUCGCCUGUGUGCACAGAGCCCCCACCCGAGACCCUGGUUUGGACGCUGCUCCCGUCUGUGGGGACAGUGCCCACGGGGCAGAUGCCUGUGGAAGGAGAGGACCGUGGAGUUCCAGGGCCUGCCCUGGAAGCGCCGUGGGCGGGAUUUUCUGCUGCUGAGAAGUGCCACCAGGCGGGGGCAUUGGUGGCGAACCUCCAGAACCUUCCGGAUGCAGAGCUACCCCAGAGGGGAGCUGCUUGGGUGUCGCACGGGAAAGUGGGGGUGUGCGGCCAGCUCUGUGGGUCAUGCGACAAGGAAAAGAAAAUCAGCCACAGAGAACAUGUAAGCAGAAAAGCAAAGACCACGAUUCUCCAAUGAAACCUUUCAGACGAACCCAGGCAACUGCAGCUGGUCCUCGGCCAUUUGCUGGCUCCUUGUCCAGUGAGGGACCUGGUCCCUGCCUCGGAUGGAUGCUCGUGCUAGGCGGGCCUGUGUGAUCCUGUGCUGGCUGAGAUGUGAGGAUAAGAUGUGAUGAUAUCAAGAAAGGCCAUUAUUUUCUUCAAACAGUGGGACAGAUUCAGCCAGCAGUUGCCUCUCAUCCUUCUUCUUUUUGCCAUUCAUUCUUACUGGAAGGGUGAGGUGAUACCUGGAGCUGGAGCAGCCACACUGCAUACCAUAGGCCAGGAAUAGCCAAGCAGUAAGCUUAAGAGGAGGAGGGUACCUGCAGCUCUUUCCAAAAAAAAAAAAAACUGCAUAAGUCUUCCUCCUUGUAGAAUCCCCGCAUGGAAAAAAGUAAAUAAACAAUCAGACCCGCCA